rnacentral:lncRNA from 1 species
UCUCCAGUACUUAAGAUAGUAAUCUUUCAUAGGAACAACAACAUGCCUAAGCAAUUCAUCAUUUUCAUAAUGUCUAAGAUGCUUAGCAAUCAAAAUGAGUUGAUGCAACAUAAGUGGAGAGGUAGGAUAAUAAACACCAGAUAGUGCAACAGUACAAUUAUAAAAGAGUUCAAAGAAGGAUAGCAUACUCUGUGCAACAGUCCAAUGAUCUUCUGUCAACAGUAAAGGAUCUCUUUCACCCCUAGGAUAGUUAGUCUCAAUGAAAAUAUUAAAUGUCUGUCUGUAAGGGAGCAAAUGCUUGAGCAUGAGAUAAG